rnacentral:lncRNA from 1 species
GCACCCCGAACUUCGGGGGCUGUUUUUUGGGCGCGGCUGUGCCCGUGGCCUAUUUUUGGCACACGGAGGCCGCCCGCCAACUCUGGUGCCAUUCCGAGUCCCGCGGACGAACUUCGCCCACGCCCCCCACCAAGGCUAUAGCCCACCCGUUUUUUGGCCAUUUUUCCGCUGGGGGGUCUUGGGACCCCGACCUUCGGGGGCUGAUUUUUGGGCGCGGCUGUGCCCGUGGCCUAUUUUUGGCACACGGAGGCCGCCCGCCAAGUCUGGUGCCAUUCCGAGUCCCGCGGACGAACUUCGCCCACGCCCCCCACCAAGGCUAUAGCCCACCCGUUUUUUGGCCAUUUUUCCGCUGGGGGGUCUUGGGACCCCGAACUUCGGGGGCUGUUUUUUGGGCGCGGCUGUGCCCGUGGCCUAUUUUUGGCACACGGAGGCCGCCCGCCAAGUCUGGUGCCAUUCCGAGUCCCGCGGACGAACUUCGCCCACGCCCCCCACCAAGGCUAUAGCCCACCCGUUUUUUGGCCAUUUUUCCGCUGGGGGGUCUUGGGACCCCGAACUUCGGGGGCUGUUUUUUGGGCGCGGCUGUGCCCGUGGCCUAUUUUUGGCACACGGAGGCCGCCCGCCAAGUCUGGUGCCAUUCCGAGUCCCGCGGACGAACUUCGCCCACGCCCCCCACCAAGGCUAUAGCCCACCCGUUUUUUGGCCAUUUUUCCGCUGGGGGGUCUUGGGACCCCGAACUUCGGGGGCUGUUUUUUGGGCGCGGCUGUGCCCGUGGCCUAUUUUUGGCACACGGAGGCCGCCCGCCAAGUCUGGUGCCAUUCCGAGUCCCGCGGACGAACUUCGCCCACGCCCCCCACCAAGGCUAUAGCCCACCCGUUUUUUGGCCAUUUUUCCGCUGGGGGGUCUUGGGACCCCGAACUUCGGGGGCUGUUUUUUGGGCGCGGCUGUGCCCGUGGCCUAUUUUUGGCACACGGAGGCCGCCCGCCAAGUCUGGUGCCAUUCCGAGUCCCGCGGACGAACUUCGCCCACGCCCCCCACCAAGGCUAUAGCCCACCCGUUUUUUGGCCAUUUUUCCGCUGGGGGGUCUUGGGACCCCGAACUUCGGGGGCUGUUUUUUGGGCGCGGCUGUGCCCGUGGCCUAUUUUUGGCACACGGAGGCCGCCCGCCAAGUCUGGUGCCAUUCCGAGUCCCGCGGACGAACUUCGCCCACGCCCCCCACCAAGGCUAUAGCCCACCCGUUUUUUGGCCAUUUUUCCGCUGGGGGGUCUUGGGACCCCGAACUUCGGGGGCUGUUUUUUGGGCGCGGCUGUGCCCGUGGCCUAUUUUUGGCACACGGAGGCCGCCCGCCAAGUCUGGUGCCAUUCCGAGUCCCGCGGACGAACUUCGCCCACGCCCCCCACCAAGGCUAUAGCCCACCCGUUUUUCCGGCGGACGAACUUCGCCCGCGCCCCCUACCAAGGCUAUAGCCCACCCAUUGUUUUGGCCAAUUUCCGCAGGCGGGUUUUGGUGCCCCGACCUUUGGGGGCUAAUUUUUGGGCACGGCUGUGCCCGGGACUCCCUGGUGGCACACCGAGGCCGCCCAUAAAGCCUCGCCCCAUUCCGAGUCUGGCGGACGAACUUCGCCCGCUUCCCCCACCAAGGCUAUAGCCCACCCAUCGCCCACCACCAAGGCUAUAGCCCACCCGUUUUUUUGGCCUUUUUCUGCUGCGGCCUUUUGGCACCCCAACCUUCGGGCGCUUAUUUUUGGGCACGGCUGUGUCCGCGACUCCCCGUGGGCACACGGAAGUUCCUCGCAAAGUCUCAUCCCAUUCUGAGUCCUACGGACGAACUUUGUCCGCGCCCACCACCAAGGCUAUAUAGCCCACCCGUUUUUUUUGGCAUUUUUCCGCUGGGGCCUUUUGGCAUCCCGACCUUCGAGCGCUUAUUUUUGGGCGUGGCUAUGCCUGCGACUCCCCGCAUGCACAUGGAGGCCCCUUUCAAAGUCUCGCCCCAUUCCGAGUCCGGCGGACGAACUUCGCCCGCGCCCCCCACCAAGGCUAUAGCCCACCCAUUUUUCUGGCCUUUUUCCGUUGGGGGCUUUUGGCACCCCGACCUUCGGGUGCUUAAUUUUGGGUGCGGCUGUGGUUGCGACUCUCCAUGGGUACAUGGAGGUUCCUCGCAAUGUCUCGUCCCAUUCCGAGUCCUGCGGACAAACUUCGUCCGCGCCCACCACCAAGGCUAUAGCCCACCCGUGUUUUUGGCCUUUUUCUGCUGGGGCCUUUUUGCACUCCGACCUUCGGGCGCUUCUUUUUGGGCGCGGCUGUGCCCACAACUCCCCGCAGGCACACGGAGGCCCCUUCCAAAGUCUCGCCCCAUUCCGACUCCGGUGGACGAACUUCGGCCGCGCCCCCCACCAAGGCUAUGGCCCACCCGUUUUUCUGGCCUUUUUCUGCUGCCCGCCCCCCCCCAGGGCUAUAGCCCACCCGUUUUUUUGGCCAUUUUCCGCUGGGGGCUUUUGGGAGCCCGACCUUCGGGUGCUUGUUUUUGGGUACCGCUGAACCCGUAAGUCCCCGGGGGUACACUGAGGUCGCUCAGAAAGCCUCGUCCCAUUCCGAGCCCGGAGGACGAACUUCGCCCGCGCCCCCCACCAAGGCUAUAGCCCACCCGUUUUUUGGCCAUUUUUCCACUGGGGGGUCUUGGGACCCCGACCUUCGGGGGCUGAUUUUUGGGCGCGGCUGUGCCCGUGGCCUAUUUUUGGCACACGGAGGCCGCCCGCCAAGUCUGGUGCCAUUCCGAGUCCCGCGGACGAACUUCGCCCACGCCCCCCACCAAGGCUAUAGCCCACCCGUUUUUUGGCCAUUUUUCCGCUGGGAGGUCUUGGGACCCCGAACUUCGGGGGCUGUUUUUUGGGCGCGGCUGUGCCCGUGGCCUAUUUUUGGCACACGGAGGCCGCCCGCCAAGUCUGGUGCCAUUCCGAGUCCCGCGGACGAACUUCGC